rnacentral:misc_RNA from 1 species
CAACGGAAUUGGAUGAGAGAGAAAGGUUGAGGCGGAUUAGGAUUUCUAAAGCAAAUAGAGGAAAUACACCAUGGAACAAAGGGAGGAAGCACAGUGCUGAAACCCUUCAACGGAUUAGAGAAAGAACAAAGCUUGCAAUGCAGAAUCCUAAGAUCAAGAUGAAGUUGGCCAAACUUGGACAUGCUCAGAGUGAAGAGACAAGAAUGAAAAUUGGAGCUGGAGUGCGAAUGAGGUG